GCCUGGUUAGCUCAAUCGGUAGAGCGUGAGACUCUUAAUCUCAAGGCUGCGGGUUCGACCCCCGCAUCGGGCU